rnacentral:rRNA from 1 species
CCUACGGGGGGCAGCAGUGGGGAAUUUUGGACAAUGGGGGCAACCCUGAUCCAGCCAUGCCGCGUGCGGGAAGAAGGCCUUCGGGUUGUAAACCGCUUUUAGUCGGGAAGCGGUACCGGCGGAAUAAGCACCGGCUAACUACGUGCCAGCAGCCGCGGUAAUACGUAGGGUGCGAGCGUUAAUCGGAAUUACUGGGCGUAAAGCGUGCGUAGGCGGUUCGUUAAGUUCGUUGUGAAAGCCCCGGGCUCAACCUGGGAACUGCAAUGGAAACUGGCGGGCUUGAGUGUGGCAGAGGGGGGUGGAAUUCCGCGUGUAGCAGUGAAAUGCGUAGAGAUGCGGAGGAACACCGAUGGCGAAGGCAGCCCCCUGGGCCAAACUGACGCUCAGGCACGAAAGCGUGGGGAGCAAACAGGAUUAGAUACCCUUGUAGUC